CCUACGGGAGGCAGCAGUGGGGAAUAUUGCACAAUGGGCGCAAGCCUGAUGCAGCCAUGCCGCGUGUGUGAAGAAGGCCUUCGGGUUGUAAAGCACUUUCAGCGGGGAGGAAGGCGGUGAGGUUAAUAACCUCAUCGAUUGACGUUACCCGCAGAAGAAGCACCGGCUAACUCCGUGCCAGCAGCCGCGGUAAUACGGAGGGUCCAAGCGUUAAUCGGAAUUACUGGGCGUAAAGCGCACGCGGGCGGUCUGUCAAGUCGGAUGUGAAAUCCCCGGGCUCAACCUGGGAACUGCAUUCGAAACUGGCAGGCUAGAGUCUUGUAGAGGGGGGUAGAAUUCCAGGUGUAGCGGUGAAAUGCGUAGAGAUCUGGAGGAAUACCGGUGGCGAAGGCGGCCCCCUGGACAAAGACUGACGCUCAGGUGCGAAAGCGUGGGGAGCAAACAGGAUUAGAUACCCCGGUAGUC
rnacentral:rRNA from 1 species